rnacentral:tRNA from 1 species
GGGCGCGUAGCUCAGUCCGGAUAGAGUGCGGGGUUCCGAACCCCGAUGUCAUGGGUUCAAAUCCCAUCGCGCUCG